rnacentral:pre_miRNA from 1 species
AGGUCGCGGAAGGUUGCAAUGCGUAUUUUGAAUCGUAUUGCACUUUCCCCGGCCCAU